rnacentral:rRNA from 1 species
UGGGAGGCAGCAGUAAGGAAUAUUGCACAAUGGGCGCAAGCCUGAUGCAGCCAUGCCGCGUGUAUGAAGAAGGCCUUAGGGUUGUAAAGUACUUUCAGCGGGGAGGAAGGUGAUAAAGUUAAUACCUUUAUCAAUUGACGUUACCCGCAGAAGAAGCACCGGCUAACUCCGUGCCAGCAGCCGCGGUAAUACGGAGGGUGCAAGCGUUAAUCGGAAUUACUGGGCGUAAAGCGCACGCAGGCGGUCAAUUAAGUCAGAUGUGAAAGCCCCGAGCUUAACUUGGGAAUUGCAUCUGAAACUGGUUGGCUAGAGUCUUGUAGAGGGGGGUAGAAUUCCACGUGUAGCGGUGAAAUGCGUAGAGAUGUGGAGGAAUACCGGUGGCGAAGGCGGCCCCCUGGACAAAGA